GCGGGAAUAGCUCAGUUGGUAGAGCGCAACCUUGCCAAGGUUGAGGUCGGGAGUUCGAGACUCCUUUCCCGCUCCA
rnacentral:tRNA from 20 species